rnacentral:rRNA from 1 species
UACGUAGGGGGCGAGCGUUGUCCGGAUUUAUUGGGCGUAAAGAGCUCGUAGGCGGUUCGCUAAGUCGGACGUGAAAUCUCCCCGCUCAACGUGGAGGGGCCGUUCGAUACUGUCGUGACUCGAGUCCGGUAGGGGAGUGUGGAAUUCCCGGUGUAGCGGUGAAAUGCGCAGAGAUCGGGAGGAACACCCGUAGCGAAGGCGGCACUCUGGGCCGGUACUGACGCUGAGGAGCGAAAGCGUGGGGAGCAAACAGG